AGCGAACGCUGGCGGCAGGCUUAACACAUGCAAGUCGAGCGGGCACUUCGGUGUCAGCGGCAGACGGGUGAGUAACACGUGGGAACGUACCCUUUGGUUCGGAAUAACGCCGGGAAACUAGCGCUAAUACCGGAUACGCCCUUUUGGGGAAAGGCUUGCUGCCGAAGGAUCGGCCCGCGUCUGAUUAGCUAGUUGGUGGGGUAAUGGCCUACCAAGGCGACGAUCAGUAGCUGGUCUGAGAGGAUGAUCAGCCACACUGGGACUGAGACACGGCCCAGACUCCUACGGGAGGCAGCAGUGGGGAAUAUUGGACAAUGGGCGCAAGCCUGAUCCAGCCAUGCCGCGUGAGUGAUGAAGGCGUUAGGGUUGUAAAGCUCUUUUGUCCGGGACGAUAAUGACGGUACCGGAAGAAUAAGCCCCGGCUAACUUCGUG
rnacentral:rRNA from 1 species